AUGCAAUGUAUCGGCCAGCAGCUCUGCUUA
rnacentral:sRNA from 1 species